GGGGUCACACGGACCGCCAGGGACGGGCCCGGCCGUGAGGGGAGCGCGGGGGAAAGAGGCCGCGGGGCGGCCUGGCACGGGAGAAGGGGAAGGAAUAAUGAGCGAAUGUUUUAUAUGUGCUUAAAAUUUUGAGGUUUCUCAUUGUACUGUUUUGCGGUCCUGCCUCAGGAGAGCCUCUGGAAAUGGAAAUGGAGAUCCCCGGCGGCACCUGCGAAGUUCUCUGUUGUUCCUCCUCCAUCCAGAGCCGCCCGCUGGGCAAGCUGCAGGAUGGAACGCUGCUGCUCCGUGGAUUUAUUUGGGAAUUAGUUCUUGGAAUGGUGGUUUCCUGAGAAAAACAAGCUCGUAAGACUUUGGAACAGUCUCUCUCAUGGUUUCUGUGUGUGCAGAAUUGGCAGACCAGCACAGUACAUAAUAAGAAUGAAGUUCAAUCUGUAGUGGUUUUAUAACCUAUGUUUUUAAGAGUCUGUAAUCAUUUUUCUCAAAAUAUAUAAACAGAAAUCUUUGUAAAGCUCUUUCCUCUGGCUGUACCAUGCUGUACAUGUAAUUUGGGGAUUUUCAGCCACAAAUACAGUAACAGUAACAAAAUAUAUUUAAAGCCCAUUAGCUUCAGUCGUGUUUUUUCUGAAUGAUUUUUCAAAAAUCAUGGUGCUGAUCUUACAUUGAGAUCCAUUUACACACAGCUCUCAUUGAAGGCCCAGGACCUGCAGUUACUAUGAUUCCAUUCUGUGUCUAAUCACACUCCCAUUUUACAUAAAAUAAAGGUAGGAUUUCAAGGUCAGCAAUUUAUGAAUUAAUAAUAAUAUUUGUAAAUAUCUUCAAAAUCCUAUUCCAUAGGAAUUUGAAAACCUCAAAAAUGCAAAGAUCUGGAGAGUUUACCCUCUGCAAAAUGGAUGGCACCACGAAGGAUGAGGUACAAAGUUGUGGCUGUGAUUUAAGAACCUGCACUUAUUUGCAUUGUAGUAAUUUGUGCCCUCUGACCAUACCUUUUAAAUUCAAGGAGUCUGAUAAUAGACACGAGCAAGAAAAUACAGGCAGGUAUUUCAAACAGCAUCUGUAGAGAGAACACUAACAUGUAGCUCUUGUUGAAAGAUUGAGUCUGCAGAACUGGGAUUUUAAGGAGAGAUACUGGCAAAAGAAUCAGGCUCAUCUGAUCUGCACAGGGAAAACGUCAGCCUGAAGGGAAGCAUCUUCUAGAACAAAAUCUACAUUUCCAGAGAACUCCCUUAAACUGAAACAAGCUGCAAGAUGGGCUCGUUUCUUACAAUGUAAACUUGGCAGAAUUUCCCUAACUGAUGGCCUCCCCUUGGGAAAACAAGAGACCAGGAGGGCUGGAUCACAGACCUGCAAACCAGGCUUGGGCAAGGAAUUCCUCUGGGAACUUGGCAAGUGCUCUUACUGUGAAUACAGGCAAAGAGGACACGUAAUUUAACAACUUUGCUAUCCGUCUGUAUGAAAAAAAGAUCUAGUGCUUUUCCUGCUGGUUUGUGCUGCCCCUGUGACACCACUAAUGCAGGUAGGGCAGAGUCAGCUUCCUGGCCAUUGCAGCAGGAGCAGAAUCAUUGAUUGUGCUUCCUGAAUUUCUAUUAAUUUUCAUAUUGAAGUCAGCAAUAGUAACUUUUAAUAGUCAAUGGGCCAGGCUGACAACUAGUAAAUAGAGAGAUCUGUAUUGAAAUUGUAAAACAAACAUGGUAUAAAAAUCAGAGGAAGCCCCAUUGCUUUUCUCCCAAACACCUUCCAGAGUAAAAACCUUAUUUCAGCCUCUCUGCUUGUGAAUUGCAAGAGGUGGAAUUUGUGUGUAAUGUCUAAAAAUACUUGUGAAGGAAUUUACCUGAAUUGUGUGAUCAGUGCUGAUUACACAAAGAAAGCCUUCUGCACACAGCUGGUCUGCCAGGACCCAGGAGGAGGACGGGUGUGCUCAGAGGGUUCUGUUCAGGGGGAUGAUUGCAGGCCACCAUCCUGCAGGGAGCCAUCCAGUCAUUCCCACCCUCACUGCUUGGCACUGUGCUGAGCCAUAGGAUGGGGCUGGAAUGAAAAACUCCUGCUGUAUGUUGGGUUCUUUUGGAAAAGAGAAGGAUUUCUGCACAGACACUCUCUGGAGUGCAGGUGAGCACCCUGAUGCUCCACAGUGUCACUGCAGCUUCUCAGCAGCUCUUGCUGGGCCUGCCUUGCUGCUGUUGGAGUCGUUGAGGUCUCAGCAUUUCCUGUAUUAAUGUCUGUGCCACAAUUGCUAAUUGACCAUGAAAUUUUAGCCUCCAGUCACACAUAAAUAUCUGAAGUCAUUUUGUUCUAGUGAAGUAAGUCUUCUUGACCACCAUUAAAAGCUCUGACUUGUGUAGCAGGGGACAUUACUGAAAAUUCAUGGUUGUUUGCUUAUUAUUCAAAACAAUACCCUUGCUUUCUGACAUAACAUAAGGGUAAAUUGUAAAUUUAUUUCCUACACAGUGGUUAAAAUCCAUUGUGUAGAGAGGAGUUGUAUCCCAGAUGAAUGUAUUCCUAUGCUGCCAAAACAGAUUUAAAUCUGGUAGCCAGUAAUUGUUUCAUCUAAAAAAAAAAACAGCAGUCUUUGUUAGAAAAAAGGAUAUUUUAAAGACAUUAAGACUUGGGAGCUGUAGCAAAACAACUGAAGAGGAGAUACUUUUCUGUGCUAGUAGAAGUGAUAUAAUAUCACAAUUUGUAAAUUCACGAA